rnacentral:rRNA from 1 species
GAGUUUGAUCGUGGCUCAGGAUGAACGCUAGCGGCAGGCCUAAUACAUGCAAGUCGAGGGGCAGCGCGGGUAGCAAUACCUGGCGGCGACCGGCGCACGGGUGCGUAACACGUAUACAAUCUGCCUUUAACGAGGGGGAUAGCCCGGAGAAAUCCGGAUUAAUACCCCAUAAUAUAUUGAGUGGCAAUCACUUGAUAUUGAAAGCUCCGGCGGUUAGAGAUGAGUAUGCGCCUGAUUAGUUAGUUGGUGAGGUAACGGCUCACCAAGACUUCGAUCAGUAGGGGAUCUGAGAGGACUACCCCCCACACAGAUACUGAGACACGGAUCCGACUCCUACGGGAGCAGCAGUAAGGAAUAUUGGACAAUGCCCGCAAGGGUGAUCCAGCCA